AACGAACGCUGGCGGCAUGCCUAACACAUGCAAGUCGAACGAGACCUUCGGGUCUAGUGGCGCACGGGUGCGUAACGCGUGGGAAUCUGCCCUUUGCUUCGGAAUAACAGUUAGAAAUGACUGCUAAUACCGGAUGAUGUCUUCGGACCAAAGAUUUAUCGGCAAAGGAUGAGCCCGCGUAGGAUUAGGUAGUUGGUGGGGUAAAGGCCUACCAAGCCGACGAUCCUUAGCUGGUCUGAGAGGAUGAUCAGCCACACUGGGACUGAGACACGGCCCAGACUCCUACGGGAGGCAGCAGUGGGGAAUAUUGGACAAUGGGCGAAAGCCUGAUCCAGCAAUGCCGCGUGAGUGAUGAAGGCCUUCGGUCGUAAAGCUCUUUUACCAGGGAUGAUAAUGACAGUACCUGGAGAAUAAG
rnacentral:rRNA from 1 species